rnacentral:lncRNA from 1 species
ACAAGAGUGAAACUCCGUCUCAAAAAACAGAGGGAGACCCCAUCUCUUGCACAAUUAAACAGGUAAAUGAGAAGUAUAGAAUACAUUCAGAAUGCACAGCUCGACGAUCCUCACAGGAAAGCAUGCCUAUGCAACCCCCACCCAUCAACCAGCUAGGGAUCCAAGAAAAACAAGAUAUUGUCUCUUUAUACACAUUCCACAGCCCCUACCUUCUCUCAAGAGAUGUUAAAAUGGCUUAAAAUGUGUUAAAAUGUGACAAUUUAAUAAAUGUGGCAGAAACAAAAAAGAGACUCCUAAAGUAUUCCUCUCUUCAGAGAGUAUGAAGCUAUUAAUUCAGCAAUCCCAGCUACUGGGGAGGCUGAAGCAGGAGAAUCGCUUGAACCCAGGAGGCGGAAGUUGCAGUGAGCCG